UACGUAGGGGGCAAGCGUUGUCCGGAAUUAUUGGGCGUAAAGCGCGCGCAGGCGGUUAAUUAAGUCUGGUGUUUAAGCCCGAGGCUCAACCUCGAUUCGCAUCGGAAACUGGUUGACUUGAGUGUAGGAGAGGAAAGUGGAAUUCCACGUGUAGCGGUGAAAUGCGUAGAUAUCGGGAAGAACACCAAUGGCGAAGGCGCCUUUCUGGUCCGUUGCUGACGCUGAGGCGCGAAAGCCAGGGGAGCGAACGGG
rnacentral:rRNA from 1 species